GCAAGUUGUCCAUCCCCAGCCGCCACCUCCUCAAUUUCUGUGCACAGCCAACCAGCCUCCACCACCGAACCAUCCAACCCGAGCCACUAGAUCUGAUCCACCCCACCUUCGAUCCUGACCAUCGGAUUCGAGAUCCGACGGUCGAGAGUGCAUCCAGCAGCCCCGUCAGCCCCAGAUCGUGAGGACCCCAAGCUCUACCUUGUGCAGCCGUGGCCUCACCGUGUUGCCUCCUCGGGCCAGCAGCCGCCGGAGCCACCGGAGCUCCAGUUGAAGCAGCCAUGGAGGAACUCGAGCCUCCUCUGCCCGGAUCGAUCUCGCGUCGCCGGGAACGGGUCCCGCCGGACCAGACACACUCAUUCUGCCGCAGGACCUCGCCGGAUUAGGCCUUCUCCGCGCCUCCCGCGUCCGCUCCGGCCUCAUCCCCGCCAUGGCCAUGCCUAAGAUGCAGGGGAGGACGAGCGCCUCGCUACUCCUCUGCUUGCCCGCGCGUGGGCUAGCCUCUACCAAGGCCCAUCCAGCGCGCCUCGCGAGGACCCGGCCUCGCCCCCUCGCUUGGAGCUGGUCUCCAGCCACGGCACCCCCGCAAGAGUUCCGCAAGCAUGUCGGAAAGUGAGGACCCGUUCGACU